GACGUAGGAGGCGAGCGUUGUCCGGAUUCAUUGGGCGUAAAGAGCGUGUAGGCGGCCAGGUAGGUCUGCUGUGAAAACUCGAGGCUCAACCUCGAGACGUCGGCGGAAACCAUCUGGCUAGAGUCCGGAAGAGGAGAGUGGAAUUCCUGGUGUAGCGGUGAAAUGCGCAGAUAUCAGGAAGAACACCCGUGGCGAAGGCGGCUCUCUGGGACGGUACUGACGCUGAGACGCGAAAGCGUGGGGAGCGAACAGG
rnacentral:rRNA from 1 species